AUUGAACGCUGGCGGCAUGCUUUACACAUGCAAGUCGAACGGCAGCACGGGCUUCGGCCUGGUGUUGAGCGGCGAACGGGUGAGUAAUAUAUCGGAAUGUACCCAGAAGUGGGGGAUAACGUAGCGAAAGUUACGCUAAUACCGCAUACGACCUAUGGAAGAAAGCAGGGGACCGCAAGGCCUUGUGCUCCUGGAGCGGCCGAUAUCUGAUUAGCUAGUUGGUGAGGUAAAGGCUCACCAAGGCGACGAUCAGUAACUGGUCUGAGAGGACGACCAGCCACACUGGAACUGAGACACGGUCCAGACUCCUACGGGAGGCAGCAGUGGGGAAUUUUGGACAAUGGGCGCAAGCCUGAUCCAGCAAUGCCGCGUGAGUGAAGAAGGCCUUCGGGUUGUAAAGCUCUUUUGUCAGGGAAGAAACGGUAGAGGCUAAUAUCCUUUGCUAAUGACGGUACCUGAAGAAUAAGCACCGGCUAACUACGUG
rnacentral:rRNA from 1 species